AUGGAUGGAGGAGAACGUAAGGCUAAUAGGCGCUCCCUAAAGAACAAGGAAGAGGUGACCAGACAUGAGAAAUCCACGAGAGAAGAAAUCGGUGGAUGCAGCGCAGAAAGGCAGUCUUACAAAGAGAGCCUGUGUCCUACCCCCUGCCGUGCAGCGCAGUUCAAGAGAAAGUCAGAUCUGUGCUGGAGUCAGUCUCAGACUAGUCACAGCACAGACGUGAAGGUCCCAACUAAGCUUCUUGUGCUGCAGCUGCUCUGGCUUAUAGGUGCCAGAUGUGACAUACAGAUGACCCAGUCUCCAGCCUCAUUGUCUGCAUCUCUAGGAGAAAGUGUCACCAUCACAUGCCAGCCAAGUAAAAGCGUUGACUGGAAUUUAGCAUGGUAUCAGCAGAAACAAGGGAAUCCUCCUAAACUCCUGAUCAAAGCUGGAGAUGAACUGGCAGAUGGGGUCCCUUCCAGGUUCAGUGGCAGUAGAUCUGACCCACAGUAUUCUCUCAAGAUCAGUAGCCUGCAGCCUGAAGAUGUGGCAACUUAUUACUGUCUACAGCAUAGUGAGCUUCCACCCACAGUGAUACAAGUCAUAACACAAACCCACAAGGAAGCAGAAGCAUGUGGCAUGGCUGUACCAGCUGUUCCUCCAGGUGGGCCACCCAUUGAAACUGUUUCUCAGAUGUUACAGUAUAUUGAGCAUAACUCAUGA